rnacentral:rRNA from 1 species
GAUGAACGCUGGCGGCGUGCCUAAUACAUGCAAGUCGAGCGAACAGACGAGGAGCUUGCUCCUCUGACGUUAGCGGCGGACGGGUGAGUAACACGUGGAUAACCUACCUAUAAGACUGGGAUAACUUCGGGAAACCGGAGCUAAUACCGGAUAAUAUAUUGAACCGCAUGGUUCAAUAGUGAAAGACGGUUUUGCUGUCACUUAUAGAUGGAUCCGCGCCGCAUUAGCUAGUUGGUAAGGUAACGGCUUACCAAGGCAACGAUGCGUAGCCGACCUGGGAGGGUGAUCGGCCGCACUGGAACUGAGACACGGUCCAGACUCCUACGGGAGGCAGCAGUAGGGAAUCUUCCGCAAUGGGCGAAAGCCUGACGGAGCAACGCCGCGUGAGUGAUGAAGGUCUUCGGAUCGUAAAACUCUGUUAUUAGGGAAGAACAAAUGUGUAAGUAACUAUGCACGUCUUGACGGUACCUAAUCAGAAAGCCACGGCUAACUACGUG